GAUGAACGCUGGCGGCGUGCCUAAUACAUGCAAGUCGAGCGAACAGACGAGGAGCUUGCUCCUCUGACGUUAGCGGCGGAUGGGUGAGUAACACGUGGAUAACCUACCUAUAAGACUGGGAUAACUUCGGGAAACCGGAGCUAAUACCGGAUAAUAUAUUGAACCGCAUGGUUCAAUAGUGAAAGACGGUUUUGCUGUCACUUAUAGAUGGAUCCGCGCCGCAUUAGCUAGUUGGUAAGGUAACGGCUUACCAAGGCAACGAUGCGUAGCCGACCUGAGAGGGUGAUCGGCCACACUGGAACUGAGACACGGUCCAGACUCCUACGGGAGGCAGCAGUAGGGAAUCUUCCGCAAUGGGCGAAAGCCUGACGGAGCAACGCCGCGUGAGUGAUGAAGGUCUUCGGAUCGUAAAGCUCUGUUAUUAGGGAAGAACAAAUGUGUAAGUAACUAUGCACGUCUUGACGGUACCUAAUCAGAAAGCCACGGCUAACUACGUG
rnacentral:rRNA from 1 species